rnacentral:rRNA from 1 species
UACGUAGGGGGCAAGCGUUGUCCGGAAUCAUUGGGCGUAAAGCGCGUGUAGGCGGUUCGAUAAGUCUGCUGUGAAAGUCCAGGGCUCAACCCUGGAAAGCCGGUGGAUACUGUCAGACUAGAGUGCGGAAGAGGCGAGUGGAAUUCCUGGUGUAGCGGUGAAAUGCGCAGAUAUCAGGAGGAACACCGGUGGCGAAGGCGGGUCUCUGGGCCGUAACUGACGCUGAGGAGCGAAAGCAUGGGGAGCGAACAGG